rnacentral:rRNA from 1 species
GACGAACGCUGGCGGCGUGCUUAACACAUGCAAGUCGAACGGAAAGGCCCUGCUUUUGUGGGGUGCUCGAGUGGCGAACGGGUGAGUAACACGUGAGUAACCUGCCCUUGACUUUGGGAUAACUUCAGGAAACUGGGGCUAAUACCGGAUAGGAGCUCCUGCUGCAUGGUGGUGGUUGGAAAGUUUCGGCGGUUGGGGAUGGACUCGCGGCUUAUCAGCUUGUUGGUGGUGUAGUGGCUUACCAAGGCUUUGACGGGUAGCCGGCCUGGGAGGGUGACCGGCCACAUUGGGACUGAGAUACGGCCCAGACUCCUACGGGAGGCAGCAGUGGGGAAUAUUGCACAAUGGGCGGAAGCCUGAUGCAGCAACGCCGCGUGCGGGAUGACGGCCUUCGGGUUGUAAACCGCUUUCGCCUGUGACGAAGCGUGAGUGACGGUAAUGGGUAAAGAAGCACCGGCUAACUACGUG